UUAUCAUGAUGAUCAAUAUGUCAGUUCUGCUACUGAGUAGCUUUGAAGAUAAUCCCAUUACUGAUGU